rnacentral:misc_RNA from 1 species
AACCGCCGUAUACGGAACCGUAUGUACGGUGGUGUGAGAGGACGGCGGGGGCAACCCCGCCUCCUACUCGAU